CGCGCUUUAGAUAGAUACAAAGUUAAUUGGCGUAAACACACAAAAAAGGCAAAGAUGGCCACGUCUCUCUCUACUGCAAAUAAGGUAGUUCUUCUGUCUUCACCAUGAAGCAAACACGAGUUUUGACAGAAGAGACGAACACACACAGACAAACACAAUCUUUUGACAGAAGAGACUAACACACACAAACUCUCUACGAUUCUCUCUCAAAGAAGGUACAAAGAUCCAUAAUUAGUAUGUCUUAAAUAUAUAUUUUUACUUAAAUCUAACCGUAGUUUUACACACGGGGUCUCUCAGCCAGAGAGAAUGAAGAUAUACAACGUUCACCCUUAUAGGGGAAUAGUUCGAUAACUUAUUUUUGUUUUUAGUCACAAGUUUUGGACUUAAGGUGGCUAAUAAAGCAGUCGGAGAGUUACCGGACGAUUGAUGUCAGAGAUUUGUCCAGGUGACAUCUCCAUUUUAUCAGCUUCGGCUCCCGCAAGAUUAUUCUUCUCCAUCUGUAAUAUAGUUUUAGGUCAAAACCAUUUAUAGUCAUUAAUUAACACAAAGAAAAUUCUUUUCCCACCAACCAUCAAAAAUAUAUAGCAAUCUGGUUUUCAUAAUUUGUCGAGCUUUUAGGGUCUUUCAUCAAGCUUAUAACGAAUCUCAAAUCAUGUAUAUAUAUCUACUUUUUCCUGAUUAACCUGAACAAGUAAAACUGAAAAACUAAGACUACUUGAAACUAACCAAUCGGAUCCCAACCUAAACCGUAACAGUAAACAAUCAUUCAGUUUCAUAAAUCUCUAACCAAAUUACCAAAACAGAAUGAUGUCCAACAACCUGAAAAGAAAUUAUUUUGACUUUACCCAAAUGACAUAUGAGAUUAUUUAGUUUUUCUUCUUCUUUUGGUUAAGAAUUGUUUAGGUAGUCGUGAAUAUAAAAAUGUACACAAACUUCGGUUUUUUCUUCCAGAUCCAGGCUUCAUUCGAUUUGGAUAUAUAAUCAGUAAAACUCAGAACCCUUAAGUUUAAGGAAAUGCUGCAUCCUCUAACUUCAAAGAACUAUACUACUUUUAGGAAUUAGGGUUUAAGACUUUUGUUGAAGUAUUAAGGUUUAUGACAGAGUUUAGGUUUUACUUUUAGCGUUAGGGUUUUAACUGUUUUACUAAUUUAUAAUAAUCCAAAUUAGAACCAAACCAAAAUUUUCCCCAACCAAAUCCAGACCAAUCAUUUUUGGUUUUCAUACAGUAAUACUCUCAUCAAAAUUAAGAUAAACCAAAAUGCCCUAAUCUCGACAUAUUCUUUUCUAUAAUACCUUAAGUAUAAUAUCUAUUGUACAUGUUAUAUCUGCAAGUAUAAGAGUAUGUGUAAAAGUGCUUGUUAGCUUUUGCAUAUAUGAAGAAUGUAGCUUUGUUACCUGGCUAGCCAAACCCUGGUUCUCUUCUUUCAGCAAUUUCUCCUGUUUUAAAGGUCAACAUGAUUAUCACUUACCAAGUUUCUAAACCUAAUUUCAGAUUCUAGAACCCAAAUCAUUUGCAUCAUCCCCAAAAAGACUACAUGAACUGUGAAGAAGUUUAAUGUAGAUUUGCCAGCUCAUAAAGCACACUUAGGGAAACUAAUACAAUACGCAAAAGUUUUGAGGCUCUCGACACAAGGUAAGAUAUCUAAUUAAGUGCUAUAAAAUAAGAUAUCUAACCUUUUCUUUGAGGCUAUCAACAAGCUUCAACAUUAGUUCUGUCUGCAACGGAUUAAAUAUAAGCGCUCUGAAAGUAAGAAAAAAAAAGAGAUUUUGUAGUGAACGUACCUUCCUAGCUCUAGUUACGGAGAGGGCAGUCUCAAGGUGGUCCUCCAGCUGAACGAGGGAGUCGACGCUUACAUCAGAAUUUGAUUCCACAAGCUUACUGCAUAUAUUAAUAGUUUGCCAAGAAACACUAAUUCCUUUGUCAUCAAAGGAGGAGAGCAAAAAAAAGUCUUAGACAAUACUAACCUUUCGACAAGCUCUAGUAGCUCAUGGUGUGAACCAUACUUCGGAGCUUUUGACUGAAGAUCCUGUCCACGGAGAAGGGAUAGAAUAGGCAAUUAAAACAAGGGAUUUGAGAAACUGGGAAUGCAUGCGGAUCCACAGCCUCACAUAGGAUCUUUUGACGAACUAAUGGCUCAUGAGUGGAUCAAUAAUGCAAUAACUCUAAUCUAGAUCUCCACAGUUUUGAAGUCCUAAACAUGUGUUGGCUUUGACCAGUAUGUAUGGAGCCCUCUAGGCACUAAUUACUCUUAAAACUGCAUCAGGACUAAUUCAAAAAAUUUGUAUUACCAGAGCUUUAAGAUCAUCAGCAUGUUGUUUUCCAUAUCGAUCAAGGAUCUUGACCAGGCUGAAGAGGAGACAAAACAAAAUAAGUUAAGAUCAAAACAACUAGCUAAUCCUUGUUCAACACCAUUGUAAUGGCGAUCGCGGAGAACAUAAGUAGUGUAGCAUAUGUGUGGUUAAGUACUAAUUGUGAGGCUGAGUUUUCUUAAAUCUACCAAAUUUCAAAAUUACUUUACACAUAUAUGUGGAUACUAAGAACCAACUAGUAGCCUUAUAAUUUGGAUAAUCUUCAAGCAAUAAAUCCAUGGCAAAGAGGUAAUUUUUUUUUGAAGAUCUACAAUUAUCUUUUUAAGUUAAUGGCUGCACAAUGUGGCAUAUAUGCAUUCAUAUUAAAACUCUUGAUCUAUUAUUCUGCAUUAAUCCUACAUCAAUUUUAUAGAUCUCCCCGAAGUGCAUUGCAUCGAACUCCAAGAGAUUCAUUGACUUGAAUUACUCUAAAAAUAGAAACAUUAAUCAUUAUUUAUUCUUAUAAUGAACUCUUCAGAUACUUAAGGAGUUCUACGGAGUUCACAUUUGCUGCAAAAUGUGGCAUACAUUCGAAUUAAAACUCUUAAUCUAUUAUUAAGCAUUAAUCCCACAUUUUUUAUAGAUCUCCCCGAAGUGCAUUGCAUUACAAAUCAAGAGAUCCAUCGACCAAAAUUACUCUAAAAAGAAAACCACUAAUACUCAUUCUGAUAAGGAACUCUUCAGAUACUUAAUUAGGAGUCCUAAAUCCAAUUAAACAAUCAAAGAUGUAUUGAAACUUCACUACACAACAUCAAGUAUGCAUCACAGCUUAUCAAAAGACCUUGAAUAACAUGCAAUCUUUUUUACAAAAAAAAAAAAAAUCCAUGCAGAAAAAGAUUGAGAGAGAGAAAUGAACAAAGUAAGAAGCUUUAGCUCAUCAGGACAUUGUUCUUUCUCAAAUCUGGUUACCUCAUGUAUCUCUCAUGUUCAUAGAAGAAACAAUAACAAACACAAAACCGAGAAAUCCACAUGAGAUCUGCCGGAAAAUCAAAGUGUCUUUUAAUUUUUUAUUUUAUUUUAUUUGUACUUUAUUUUAUUUUCCUAUAAAUAGUAAAGAGAAGAGGAACGGAAGCGAAAAGGGCAAAUAAAGGAAGACCCAGAAGAGGAGAAGUCAUACUUAUCGCCGGCGGAGAAGUUGUAAAGCUUGCCGGAGGCUGAGACAACGAGAAGAGCGACGGAUGCA
rnacentral:lncRNA from 1 species